rnacentral:tRNA from 1 species
GGAGGCAUGGUUCAAGUAACAGAACUCAUGCCUAAUAAGCACAAGGGCCUAAGUUCAAUCCCCAGUACUUCCA